UUGAAAAGAACUUUGAAGAGAGAGUUCAAGAGUACGUGAAACCGUUCAGGGGUAAACCUAAGAAACCCAAAAGAUCGAACGGGGAGAUUCAUCGUCAGCGGCGCUGGCUUCGCGUCGGUGGGCGAUGUCCCGCGGAGUCCUCGCGGCUCGCGCGCGGGCACGCUACCGUGCGCCGAUGUCCGGCUGUCGUCGUCGUGCACUUCUCCCCAAGUAGAACGUCGCGACCCGCUGGGUGUCGGUCUACGGCCCGGGUGCGGUGACUGUCGCGUCGCCGGUAAAACGGCACGCGACAAACCCUCGGUCGCCCGGCCGGCUGCUCGGCGGUACGCGCAAGGUAUCAGGCCGCACUUCUACACGGUGCGUCGAGGCCGUCGCAAGCGCGCGCCACGGUACUCGGAGGUUACGGACUCUACGCCGUCCCCGGUCCUGGCCCGCUGUUGGUUAAAGUACGGAUCACCUUCGACAGGCCUGCGAACGUCUCUCUCACGGGGGACGGAUACCGGUCGGCGACGCUACUGCUUUGGGUACUCUUAGGACCCGUCUUGAAACACGGACCAAGGAGUCUAACAUGUACGCGAGUCAUUGGGACUUGUCGCGAGACCUAAAGGCGUAAUGAAAGUGAAGGUCGGCCCUGGCCGUCGACCGAGGGAGGAUGGGCCGCGUCGCGAUGCGGCCUCGCACUCCCGGGGCGUCUCGUUCUCAACGCGAGAAGAGGCGCACCCAGAGCGUACACGUUGGGACCCGAAAGAUGGUGAACUAUGCCUGGUCAGGACGAAGUCAGGGGAAACCCUGAUGGAGGUCCGUAGCGAUUCUGACGUGCAAAUCGAUCGUCGGAACUGGGUAUAGGGGCGAAAGACUAAUCGAACCAUCUAGUAGCUGGUUCCCUCCGAAGUUUCCCUCAGGAUAGCUGGCACUCGGCCGUUCCGCACGGAACGCGCGCGAGUCUCAUCUGGUAAAGCGAAUGAUUAGAGGCCUUGGGGCCGAAACGACCUCAACCUAUUCUCAAACUUUAAAUGGGUGAGAUCUCUGGCUUUCUUGAAUUAUGAAGCCACGAGCAUCUCGGAUCAGAGUGCCAAGUGGGCCAUUUUUGGUAAGCAGAACUGGCGCUGUGGGAUGAACCAAACGCAGAGUUAAGGCGCCCAACUCGACGCUCAUGGGACACCAUGAAAGGCGUUGGUUGCUUAAGACAGCAGGACGGUGGCCAUGGAAGUCGGAAUCCGCUAAGGAGUGUGUAACAACUCACCUGCCGAAGCAACUAGCCCUGAAAAUGGAUGGCGCUGAAGCGUCGAGCCUAUACUCUGCCGUCAGCGGCAAGUGGGGCGGCGACGGGAGCGUUGCGCGCGUCGGACCGCGUUUGCGGCUCUCUCGCGAGGCAAUCGUCUCCCUCGAGUCGUCACGAAGCCCUGACGAGUAGGAGGGUCGCGACGGUGAGCGCAGAAGGGUCU
rnacentral:rRNA from 1 species